rnacentral:rRNA from 1 species
ACGGGGGGGGCAAGCGUUGUUCGGAAUUACUGGGCGUAAAGGGCUCGUAGGCGGCCAACUAAGUCAGACGUGAAAUCCCCAGGCUCAACCUGGGAACUGCGUCUGAUACUGGAUGGCUUGGAUCCGGAAGAGGGAUGCGGAAUUCCAGGUGUAGCGGUGAAAUGCGUAGAUAUUGGGAGGAACACCAGUGGCGAAGGCGGCUCACUGGACUGGUACUGACGCUGAGGCGCGAAAGCGUGGGGAGCAAACGGGA